rnacentral:rRNA from 1 species
GUCGCAUGCUUCCGGCCGCCAUGGAGGCCGCGGGAAUUCGAUUAGAGUUUGAUCAUGGCUCAGAUUGAACGCUGGCGGCAGGCCUAACACAUGCAAGUCGAGCGGUAGAGAGGUGCUUGCACCUCUUGAGAGCGGCGGACGGGUGAGUAAUGCCUAGGAAUCUGCCUGGUAGUGGGGGAUAACGCUCGGAAACGGACGCUAAUACCGCAUACGUCCUACGGGAGAAAGCAGGGGACCUUCGGGCCUUGCGCUAUCAGAUGAGCCUAGGUCGGAUUAGCUAGUUGGUGGGGUAAUGGCUCACCAAGGCGACGAUCCGUAACUGGUCUGAGAGGAUGAUCAGUCACACUGGAACUGAGACACGGUCCAGACUCCUACGGGAGGCAGCAGUGGGGAAUAUUGGACAAUGGGCGAAAGCCUGAUCCAGCCAUGCCGCGUGUGUGAAGAAGGUCUUCGGAUUGUAAAGCACUUUAAGUUGGGAGGAAGGGCAUUAACCUAAUACGUUAGUGUUUUGACGUUACCGACAGAAUAAGCACCGGCUAACUCUGUGCCAGCAGCCGCGGUAAUACGAAUCACUAGUGAAUUCGCGGCCGCCUGCAGGUCGACCAUAUGGGAGAGCUCCCAACGCGU